AUAAGUUGGUGCUUCAACCCAUUAUUCACUUCAACCAAAAAAAUUGCUACGGUUAUCACCGAACAAAAGAAAAACACACUAGAUUUCAUGUAAUAUUAUGUAACCAAAAUAAAUUUCAUAUAUUGUUAUCUAUUAUUGUUCAGAGCAAUUUCAUCUUGUUCAAAGCACGGGUCUUUACCUUGUAUUAUCUAAAAUUCAAGAUGACUGAACCACUCUUAAAAUUCAAGAUUACUCAAAUAUAACUGCGAAACCACUCUCCAAGAAUCAAAUAGUUUAAUUAAAGUGCAUAUGACAAAAAGAGUUAGAAGAAAAAUAUUUUUUUAAAUAGAUAAUUAUAUAUUCUGAUAGAACGACGAUCUGUUUUUUUUUUUUUUUGAAGCUUUGUAUCCUUUGCUCAACCCCAAAGGUCAACAUGUUAAUACUAUGUGCUACAGCACAAUUAUUAUAUUCGAGAGAAAAGCAUUUUCCCCACCCGAAUCUUAAUUUAUUUUGUGAAAAAGGGGCCACUGAAUAUCAUAAUCAACCUUUUGGAAAUAUAAUAUGAAUAAUAUAUUUUAAUAUGAAUAAUUAUGUCAUGAAAUUAACUUAGAUCAUGCUUAUAUGGACCACAUUUUAAAUUGAAAAGAAGUUCCACCAUUAGUUUCGCAUGUUCCAAGGGUUGUGUAGUUUCA
rnacentral:lncRNA from 1 species